GCAAGUCGAACGAGAACGGAUAUUAGCUUGCUAAUAUUGUCAGCUAAGUGGCGCACGGAUGAGUAAUAUAUAGUUAACCUGCCUCAAAGAAGGGAAUAAUUGUUGGAAACGACUUGUAAAGCCCUAUAUGCCUUUAUCACAUAAGUGAGCAAGGGAAAUAUUUAUAGCUUUGAGAUGGGACUGUACGGUAUCAGAUAGUUGGUGAGGUAAUGGCUCACCAAGUCAAUGACACCUAACUGGUUUGAGAGGAUGAUC
rnacentral:rRNA from 1 species